rnacentral:lncRNA from 7 species
AGGCUGUGCUGAGCCCUUCUUUUUCAGCUCUUUGCUUUUUUUCUUUUCUUGGGCAUCGGUUAUGUUUUGUUUUCAUCUUUGCUUGGCUCUUGCUGGAGCAUUUGAGGGAUUCGUUGGAGUCACUGGUUUGUCCUGGCUGUUCCUGGGGAGCUACUCUUUGCUUGUGACCCCCUGAAAGCAGCUGUCCCAAGUUGAUGGUCAGCCUCAUGGCUUGGGGACGUUGUCCAUCAUGAUGAUUUGAAGAAAAGGCUCACUGUAGCUGAUUUCAGGCUGAAGGACAAACAAAAGAUUCACUGGCCAUAUCAGUCCGAAGCAACAGUUUUCUCUUGGGUUGAAUGAAUAUCAGUCAAGAACGGUGCUGGAAGUACAGCACAUUCACUGAAUCUGCCUGGCUUUGACAUAUCCUGCAGCAAACCAGGAGUUGGGAUCACUUCACACUUAAGCAUACGCUUUGUAUUGCAGGUCUAUGCCUGGGCUUGGUCUGGAAGAGGAGGAGUCAGGGAACCUUGGCUGAGAGCAGAGCAAACAUGUCCUUCUGUUUAGACGUUGCUGUAUAGUUCUUUAUUUCUUCUGCCUAAUGUAGACACACCCAUAAUAAUCUGCUCCCAUAAGGUUCUUGUUACAGGCUCCUUAAUGUCCUCGAAAACUAUUGGUCUAUGGCACUUGUCCUUUUCAUAACUCCUUGACCAUAAUUCUUAUGGAUCUGCCUGACAAGAUUUGCACAUUCAUUGUGUCCUACAAAUGUGCCGUAUCUAGAAUUUUUCCAUAUUCCUUGUUAAACUAUAGGAACCUACUUUGCCCUACACUUGCACUUUCCUGAAGUGUUCUAACAAUAGGAAAACUUAACUGAAAGUAGCCACUGUUAAGUCUUUUGACAUAUUUGAUAUAUUUCUAGAGUAUCUAAUGAGUUACCUUACUUUGUUCUGUAUAGAUUAAAUUUUGAAAAUUUUACAGAUUUAUAAGCUAUUCCCUACUGAGUACAGUCUGUUUCAUUAUAAAAAUAAAUCUGGGUGCACUUC